UGGGGAAUAUUGCACAAUGGGCGAAAGCCUGAUGCAGCAACGCCGCGUGCGGGAUGACGGCCUUCGGGUUGUAAACCGCUUUCAGCAGGGACGAAGGUUUUCUGACGGUACCUGCAGAAGAAGCACCGGCUAACUACGUGCCAGCAGCCGCGGUGAUACGUAGGGUGCGAGCGUUGUCCGGAAUUAUUGGGCGUAAAGAGCUUGUAGGCGGUCCGUUGCGUCGGAAGUGAAAACUCAGGGCUUAACCCUGAGCCUGCUUUCGAUACGGGCGGACUUGAGGGAUGUAGGGGAGAACGGAAUUCCUGGUGGAGCGGUGGAAUGCGCAGAUAUCAGGAGGAACACCAGCGGCGAAGGCGGUUCUCUGGACAUUUCCUGACGCUGAGAAGCGAAAAGCGUGGGGAGCAAAACAGGCUUAGAUACCCUGGUAGUCCACGCCGUAAACGGUGGGCACUAGGUGUGGGACCCAUUCCACGGGUUCCGUGCCGUAGCUAACGCAUUAAAGUGCCCCGCCUGGGGAGUACGGCCGC
rnacentral:rRNA from 1 species